GCCCGGGUGGCGCUCGGCGGGCGGUGCUCGCCGCCGCCACCGGCGGGGUGAGCGGCCGCCGGUUCCGGUUCCCGCACCCCGGCGC
rnacentral:tRNA from 1 species